rnacentral:lncRNA from 1 species
CUAGUGUGGCCAGAGCUGUUCAUCAUCGCCCCCUGGGAAGCUUGUCAAAAACACAGGUUCCUGGGCUCCGCCCUGGAGAUCUGAUUCAGAGAGUCCAGCGUGAGGCCCAGUAAUCUGCAUUUGCAGCAAGCUCCCUAAGGGAUUCUGAUGCAACUGGUCUCUGAUGGUUCCAGCGUGCAGCUGCCUUUAAGAACCACAGCAACCGAAUUUCCCAGAUCCCAAGUUACUCCUUCGGAGAAGUUUUGCUUCCCAAGACCGUCCAAUGCAAAGCCAAGUAAUUGAAGACCAACUACUUCAAGGAGGAGUGGCUCUUUUUCAUUCACCAUUCUCUCCCAGUGUCUGGCACGUGGUGGAUGUUCAAUAAAUACUUGUUGGAUGAAUGGACUUGAUAGGUACUAAUUAUCUGAUUGCUUCCAUGAGCCAGCACAAUGCUGGGUAUGGGAGAACCCAGUGGAAUAAUGAAACAAAUGCAGGUUC